rnacentral:RNase_P_RNA from 1 species
UCCGCUCUUUUGGUGAUCGCCCUUGGAAAUUUUCCUUGGGAGGAACGUCCGGGCACCGCUGGAACAUUAUGCGGCUAACAGCCGUCACAUGCGUCAUAAUUCAUAAAGCGCAUGAGGACUAGUGCCACAGAGACGAGCCCCUUUAUUGGGGAGUGAAACGCCUCGGAGUACUGAGGAUUCGACUUCUGCCUCGCAGAAGGCCAAAUCGGUAAACUCAUGGUGGUGUAAGGAGGAUUUGGGUGAUUGGAAAUUGUGCUGGUUCCGGCACACCAAUUACUCCUCCGCAUUGAGGCAGUGCAGCAAUGCCUGCCCCAGAUAGAUGAUCACCCUCGACAGAACCCGGCGUACAGGAGAGCGGAUCAA